UCUUUGGUUCAAGGGCUUUUGUCUGGCUGWUCUCCCUGCUGCUUUCUUCCUGUGUGUGUUUUGUUCCUGUGCAAACAGGGGGUGGCCAUUAAGCAUCAGUAUGGAAAACUGUGCUCAUCUUUGGAGUGGUGUUUUCUGUGCUGCUCCAGGAACUAUUCUGAUUUACCUAUGACAGACUUUUGAAGUGUCAAGGAUGCUACAUGAAAAAGAGUGAUUGAUGGAUGUUUCUAAUCAGCUGAGGAAAAAGUGGAAGGAUCCAAAAAGCAAUUAGGAGCAGUGGUGCUAUCAAAAAGAACAAGAAAAGAAUAAAUGGGUAAGUCUGUUAUUGGCCCAGCGUGAUAUGAUAUAGGGGAAAUAAUG